AUUUCAGUGGUGUAUCCAUAGUAUGGAAUGCAAAUAGUAAACUCUCCCCACCCGCAAAAAUAUAACAAUACAAGACACACCAUUAAUUAUUAAAGCUAAACCCUAACUGAGGAAGCAUAAACCCAAAUAGUAUAUAAAUAAUAUGGUUUACUAUACCCAAACUUCUACUUGGUAAAUCUAAACCCUAGGCAGGAACCUAUAAAUCCAAAUACAAUCUAUAAAAAUUUUUCCAAUAUUGGACACUUGAAGGCACAUUUUGAAUAUUAAACCCUAAACCGCUAUCACUAAACCCAAACCUUAACCCCACACCUUCCAAAUACUAAACUCUAAACUCUAAUUACUAAAUCAUAAAUCCAAGUAUAGAUGUAAACCCAAAUAGAAUGGAAUAAAAUAAAUAGUAUAGUACAUAUUGGUGAACAAAAUAGAACACUCUUUAUUAGUCGUCAAAUAAAACGAUACAUGUUCACUAAACCCAAAUCCCAACCCCGCCCUUCUAGAUACUAAAUCCUAAAUCUUAAUCACUAAACCCUAAACCCAAGUAUAAACCCUAAACCCUAAACUCUAAACCCAAAUCUCAAAAUUUAAUAUUGACCUCAAACUCACCCAUAUUACUCUAAAUACUAAACCCUAAUCACUAAUU
rnacentral:lncRNA from 1 species